AAUACGUAGGGUGCAAGCGUUAAUCGGAAUUACUGGGCGUAAAGCGUGCGCAGGCGGUUGUGCAAGACAGAUGUGAAAUCCCCGGGCUCAACCUGGGAAUUGCAUUUGUGACUGCACGGCUAGAGUGUGUCAGAGGGGGGUAGAAUUCCACGUGUAGCAGUGAAAUGCGUAGAGAUGUGGAGGAAUACCGAUGGCGAAGGCAGCCCCCUGGGAUAACGCUGACGCUCAUGCACGAAAGCGUGGGGAGCAAACAGGA
rnacentral:rRNA from 1 species